UCCAUUAGAGCUCCACUGGAGGUGAUCGCGGGCGAGUGCAGAAUGAAUGGGAGUCUAUGGAGUUAAACGGUUAAUGUGUCUCUUUCUCCUGCUUGUCGUUGAAUCAACAUAGAUUUUAUUGUUGAUUCCUCAAGUUCAAUAUAGAUUAUAGGCCAAAAGUCGAAUGAACGAGUACUUAUGUCCUUUUGAUUUCUUACAGGUUGGGCCGUUGUUGGCCGGAACACGCUAGCAUUCUGCUAUUAUGUGACGUCAUCACAUUUUUGAACGGAUUUUUAGAACAGAUAAGUGAACUUAAAAAUGCAAUUUUCAGCUGAGUGUAUUAUCUUAGCCCUCCCUUUUGAAUGCAACUUUCAAAUUACUUGACAAAAAAUUACAUCCU